AUGGCUGUCCUGGUGCUGCUCCUCUGCCUGGUGACCUUUCCAAGCUGUGCCCUGUCCCAGGUGCAGCUGAAGGAGUCAGGACUUGGUCUGGUGCUGCACUCAAAGACCCUGUCUCUCACCUGCACUGUCUCUGGGUUGUCAUUAACCAGCUAUGGUGUACACUGGGUUUUCCAGCCGCCAGGAAAUGGGCUGGAGUGUGUGGGAGCAAUGUGGAGUGGACAUAUAGAGUAUAAUUCAGCUCUCAAUUCCCAGAUCACCAUCAGUAGCGACACCUCCAACAACCAAGUUUUCUGA